UACAGACGGCGCAAGCGUUAUCCGGAAUGAUUGGGCGUAAAGCGCGCGUAGGCGGCCCGGUAAGUCCGCUGUAAAAAGUCCAAGGCUCAACCCUGGAACGCCGGUGGAUACUGUCGGGCUAGAGUCCGGAAGAGGCGAGUGGAAUUCCUGGUGUAGCGGUGGAAUGCGCAGAUAUCAGGAGGAACACCGAUGGCGAAGGCAGCUCGCUG
rnacentral:rRNA from 1 species